rnacentral:rRNA from 1 species
UAGGGAAUCUUCGGCAAUGGGGGCAACCCUGACCGAGCAACGCCGCGUGAGUGAAGAAGGUUUUCGGAUCGUAAAGCUCUGUUGUAAGUCAAGAACGGGUGUGAGAGUGGAAAGUUCACACUGUGACGGUAGCUUACCAGAAAGGGACGGCUAACUACGUGCCAGCAGCCGCGGUAAUACGUAGGUCCCGAGCGUUGUCCGGAUUUAUUGGGCGUAAAGCGAGCGCAGGCGGUUUGAUAAGUCUGAAGUUAAAGGCUGUGGCUCAACCAUAGUUCGCUUUGGAAACUGUCAAACUUGAGUGCAGAAGGGGAGGGUGGAAUUCCAUGUGUAGCGGUGAAAUGCGUAGAUAUAUGGAGGAACACAGGUGGCGAAAGCGGCUCUCUGGUCUGUAACUGACGCUGAGGCUCGAAAGCGUGGGGAGCGAACAGG